rnacentral:rRNA from 1 species
GCAACGAGCGCAACCCUUGCCUUUAGUUGCCAGCAGUUCGGCUGGGCACUCUAAAGGGACUGCCGGUGUUAAACCGGAGGAAGGUGGGGAUGACGUCAAGUCCUCAUGGCCUUUAUGACCAGGGCUACACACGUACUACAAUGGCCGAUACAAAGGGCAGCGACACUGCGAGGUGAAGCCAAUCCCGUAAAAUCGGUCUCAGUCCGGAUUGGAGUCUGCAACUCGACUCCAUGAAGUUGGAAUCGCUAGUAAUCGUGGAUCAGCAUGCCACGGUGAAUACGUUCCCGGGCCUU